ensembl:snRNA U6 U6 spliceosomal RNA
GUGGUCACUUUGGCAGCACAUAUACAAAAACUAAAACAAUACAAAGAAGAUUAACAUAUCAUCUCUGCAUAGAUAUCAUGCAAAUUAGUAAAGCAUUUAUAUUUUUU